AUUACGCAGGCUCUUUUGAACAGGAUGCAGUGUUGUGUCAGGAAGCAUUUUCCUUUUAUUUUUUCAGGUGCCCAAGACAGGAGAAAAGUGAACCGUAUUGCUGGAGACUCCAAUGCUCAUCGGAUUAAGGAUAUUCUUCCUGACGAUAUAGCUGUCAAAUGCCUGCCAAUCUCUGAUGAGAAUAUGUAAUGACAAUGGUGCCAAAUUUUCUUGUGAUCGUUUUCGCCAUGCAUUGUUGAGAGACUUGCGGAAGAUGGAUGUUCAACAGCUGUAUCUUCAUCUAGGCUCAAAUGACAUUCUUACGAAUGAAGCGGUGUUUUACCGGAGGCGCACAAUCGGUGUCCAGAAUGCAGGGUUGUUUGCUCCAACGAAGACGCUUUGCUGAGCCACUUCUGCAGUCGCCACAUCAAGCAACCAGAGACUGGAAAAGAGAGUAAAAUUAAGCUGAUAGGCUCACCAAUGAUUGCAUCUGCUAAUCAUGAACUCAACGAAGUCAGCUCAAGGAAGUGGAAGGCAUGCUUGGAAAAUAAAAUUUUCCAUUAUGAAGGCAAAUUUUAGUAUAUUUCAAAUUUGUAACCAAAUGAAGUGACAAGAUCUUGAAUGAAAAUUUGAUUGAACAUUUGUUAUCUGUCAAGAGAAACAGUUUGAAGCGAAUUAAUUAAGUAUUGCCUAUUGUCUAUAAGUUAAUUGUGUGACCUGAACCCUGUGAGGGAUAUUACUUAUUUUUAUACGCCGGUUUUGAAAAAACGGGACGUAUUAUAGUUUCACCCUUGGCCAUAACAGUGUCCUCUCUCUAAUUCAAAUAGUUUUCAUCCGAUCUUCACCAAACUUGGUCAGAAGUUGUAUCUAGACAAUAUCUAGGUCAAGUUUGAAUAUGGGUCAUGCCAGGUCAAAAACUAGGUCACAGGGUCACUUAGUGCAUUUGAAGGAUUUAGCAUUGGUGGCUCUCUAAUUGGAGUAGUUUUCAUCUGAUCUUUACCAAAUUUGGUCAUAAGUUGUGUGUAAAUGAUAUAUAGGUCAAGUUCAAAUAUGGGUUAUGCCGGGUCAAAAACUAGGUCGCGAGGUCACUUAGAGCAUUUCAUGCAUUUCGCAUGGUGUCUGCUCUCUAAUUGAAGUAGUUUUCAUCCAAUCUUCACAAACUUUGGUCAGAAGUUUUAUCUAGACAAUAUCUAAGUCAAGUUCAAUUAUGGGUCAUGCCGGGUCAAAAACAAGGUCAGGGGUUCACUUAGUACAUUUCAAGGAUUAAGCAUGGUGUCCGCUCUCAAAUUGAAGUAGUUAUCAUCCGAUCUUCACCAAAUUUGGUCAGAAAUUGUGUCAAAAUGUUAUCUAGGUCAAGUUCAAAUAUGGGUCACGCCAGGUCAAAAACUAGGUCACGAGGUUACUUAGUGCAUUUCAAGCAUUUAGCACGGUGUCCACUCUCUUAUUGAAGUAGUUUUCAUCUGAUCUUCAACAAAUGU